UGCGGGGUGGUGUAAUGGUAACACGGGAGUCUUUGGAACUCUUAAUCCAGGUUCGAGUCCUGGCCCCGCAGCCA
rnacentral:tRNA from 1 species